GAUGAACGCUGGCGGCGUGCUUAACACAUGCAAGUCGAACGGAAAGGCCCAAGCUUGCUUGGGUACUCGAGUGGCGAACGGGUGAGUAACACGUGGGUGAUCUGCCCUGCACUUCGGGAUAAGCCUGGGAAACUGGGUCUAAUACCGGAUAGGACGAUGGUUUGGAUGCCAUUGUGGAAAGUUUUUUCGGUGUGGGAUGAGCUCGCGGCCUAUCAGCUUGUUGGUGGGGUAAUGGCCUACCAAGGCGUCGACGGGUAGCCGGCCUGAGAGGGUGUACGGCCACAUUGUGACUCAGAUACGGCCCUGACUCCUACGGGGGGCAGAAUAGCGGGAUAGUGGACAAUGGGCGCGAACCUGAUGCAGCGACGCCGCGUGGGCGAUGAAGGCCUUCGGGUUGUAAACUCCUCUCGCUAGGGACGCAGCGGUUUUGUGACGGUACCUGGAGAAGAAGCACCGGCUAACUACGUG
rnacentral:rRNA from 1 species